UUUCAUGUCAAAAUGUGCCACCUGGAAGC
rnacentral:piRNA from 1 species